CUGGAUCCUACCCCAGACGCUGGAGGCUGGGCUGCUGCGGCAUCGUCUAUUAGGUCCACCAGGCCACUGUGAGGGUUCUGAGAGAGAAUUCAUGGAAGAUGCUUAGCCCAGGGCUGGGGACCCAGUAAGCACUCCGGGAAUAUUCGUCAUUACUAUUAUUACUAUAGAACCUUCACUGAGGCUGUAUAGCCCAAGUGCUCCAGGCAGGUACCAGCUGAGUAAUCCCAGCUAACAAAAGCGACCAUGGCUACUCUGACGUGUGGGACGACGAUGCUAGCCAGGCCGUGCCAGACCCCUCCAGGGAGCCUUGCUGACCCCUCCACGACUCAAGCUGCAUUGGCUGCCCCUCCGCUGCACUCUCCAAGUUCCCUGUGCUCCUGGAUCUGGCACGCAUUAUGCUGUCUCCAGAGUACUUGUGUUGCAAAGUGUCUGUCCCCUCUCAUCACUUCAGCUGCCUAUGGAUAGGGAUGGUGUCAUCUCUGAGCCUUGAUUCAUAAGACCUGCAUGGGGCAGAUGCUCACAUUGAAUGGA
rnacentral:lncRNA from 1 species